rnacentral:sRNA from 1 species
GCCGGGUGUGCUGAUUAUUGGGGGUGAA